CUACUCUAACAUGUUAUUUCUUUCAUAGUUUUUGCAGAAAACCACCUGUAGCUACAAGGGAUGAUAAAAAUGAAAACAUCUGGUCAAGAGGAAUCAUAUCAAGCAAGAUCAGCACAGGCAGACCAUGAUCAUCACCUAGGUGAGAAAAAUUGCUGUUAAGAAUGAAAUUGGUAUGUUAUUAUCAAGAAAAGUGAAAAUGGCCUAAGGGGAAAAGAUCAACAGUAUUUACCAGGCUUUUUCUUACAGAUCAACACGGCAUCAAGUAGUAGUCUAAUUGGACAGCUCCUUAUUACAGCCUUGGUUAUACUGUCUCCUGCCACCCCCACGCCUGCUGUUUCCAAACUAAAAAGCAAAGGCCUUCAGAGUUCUCCCAGUCAAGAAGGUGCAAAGGAUUAUAGAAUGCUGGCAGAAGUGUAACACAGUGUGGGAGUCUGCUUUCAAAUGUUAAUGUCAUCAGUUAGUGACUUGGGUGAGUUGUUUAAUGUUGUUGAACUUCAAAUGCAGGGCCAGGGAUUUAGCUCAGUGGU
rnacentral:lncRNA from 1 species